rnacentral:rRNA from 1 species
UACGUAGGUGGCAAGCGUUGUCCGGAUUUACUGGGCGUAAAGAGCGCGCAGGCGGUCGUUCAAGUCGAGUGUGAAAGCCCCCGGCUCAACUGGGGAGGGUCACGCGAUACUGAUCGACUCGAAGGCAGGAGAGGGAAGUGGAAUUCCCGGUGUAGUGGUGAAAUGCGUAGAUAUCGGGAGGAACACCAGUGGCGAAGGCGACUUCCUGGCCUGUUCUUGACGCUGAGGCGCGAAAGCUAGGGGAGCAAACGGG